AGAGAGAAGCCUGCUGGUCGACGACGCCCAGACACCACCGCUGCCUGUGUGCGCCGUCGAAGAAGCUCGUCCGCAGUCGUCGCCUGGGCCGCCACUUCGAGGACUUGAAAUUGGCAAGCCCUCUCUGUUUUCGUACUCACUGUAAAGUAUUGUGUGUUGCUACAAGGUCUUGGAAGAAUUUGCGAGUCAACGAGGCUAGUGAUAAAUUAUACUCGUUUUGACUUGGAAGUAUUUUGGCAUAACGAGUAACGGGCUGAUAGAUGUUGACGUGAGGCGACAGAGUGGUUUGGAGCAGGCAAUUGGGCAUGUGAAUAGUGCACCUGAUUUAAGACAUAACUGCCAUUUAACAGUUUACGUGUCGUUACCUUCUCAAGAGACACAACCUCGCACAGCAAACUUCACAGCAAGUAAAGAGUUGCCGAGACCACGAGAGCGACCAACAAGUGCCGUAGUUUCAGCCCAAGGUUAUGUGUGGGUGACGGCCUAGUUGCCUGGCUCAAGACCAGAACAAUACUGCUGCAGUAGCCGUGCUAGCAGUCGGCGAGGCGGACCGCGGCCUCCCGCGCCCCGGAGCUGCGGCGCGCGGGCCGGUCAGCGAGUCCAGACUCGUGACUUCGCUUGCUGAGCGGAGCUGUACUCGUUGCGCUGACGCCAACGGGACAUCAGACACCAUCCACCACAUGUCGACCCCUACAAGACUAAGGAUGUGCCUCGAGGUGGGAUCACUUCCACAACUGGAAUGCAUCGGAUGCAUUGCGAUACCGCUCACGUGAAACUUCCAGCUAUUACACAGUACACACACCCUGUGGUGAUUCCAUUAGGGAGCGUUUACACGGGUAGAGUAAACGGAAAGGCAUAACUUUCCCUAGUUGCUGUCCCAUUUACUCUACCCGAAUAAACGCUCCUUAAGGUGGCUGUCAAGAUUUUUUGAAAGUGUCUGACUAAGAUUAGCACUUAAAAGUCACUACACUAAACUAUACAAUUUUUUUUCUCCA